rnacentral:rRNA from 1 species
CCUACGGGGGGCAGCAGUGGGGAAUCUUGCACAAUGGGGGAAACCCUGAUGCAGCGACGCCGCGUGAGCGAUGAAGCCCUUCGGGGUGUAAAGCUCUUUCGGCAGGAACGAUAAUGACGGUACCUGAAGAAGAAGCUGCGGCUAACUACGUGCCAGCAGCCGCGGUAAUACGUAGGCAGCAAACGUUGUUCGGAGUUACUGGGCGUAAAGAGUGCGUAGGCGGUCUGCCAAGUUUGGUGUGAAAUCUCCUGGCUUAACUGGGAGGGUGCGCCGAA